GACGAACGCUGGCGGCGUGCUUAACACAUGCAAGUCGAACGGUAAGGCUCCAGCUUGCUGGGGUACACGAGUGGCGAACGGGUGAGUAACACGUGGGUGACCUGCCCUGCACUUCGGGAUAAGCCUGGGAAACUGGGUCUAAUACCGGAUAGGACCGCACCGUGAGGGGGGGGUGGAAAGUUUUUUCGGUGUGGGAUGGGCCCGCGGCCUAUCAGCUUGUUGGUGGGGUAAUGGCCUACCAAGGCGGCGACGGGUAGCCGGCCUGAGAGGGUGGACGGCCACAUUGGGACUGAGACACGGCCCAGACUCCUACGGGAGGCAGCAGUGGGGAAUAUUGCACAAUGGGCGGAAGCCUGAUGCAGCGACGCCGCGUGGGGGAUGACGGCCUUCGGGUUGUAAACUCCUUUCACCAUCGACGAAGGGUUUCUGACGGUAGAUGGAGAAGAAGCACCGGCUAACUACGUG
rnacentral:rRNA from 1 species